CGCAGAGACAGUAAUGCAAACUAACUACCCACAAAGAAGAUCUCAAAAAACGUUCAUAAAUUGGUAAGGCAAAGGGUUCUGGGUUCUCGCUUAACGUCAAAAAGGAAGAAAUGGGAAGGUCUUUAGUUUUCUCCACCAACAUUCCUCUCAGAUUUUCACAAACACCCAGAUCAAUUUCACCUCGAUUUCACCCAAAUCAGUACCAACCUCACAAACUUAGUCCAAAGUCUUCAACUGGGUAUCGAAAAGUUGGAAUCUUUAAUACAAAUUCCAAAAGAAAAUUAUGCACAAGAGCUUUGAUAUCAGAGGUUUCUAACCAGAGACAGUAUCCUAAAGUAGCUGCCAAAUCAACCGGACCAAUCCCUCCAUCUCAGCUCAUUGAAGUUGUCGAGACCGCUGCAAAAACUGGGGCUGAGGUGGUGAUGGAUGCUGUCAACAAACCAAGAAAUAUCACAUAUAAAGGACUAACUGACUUGGUAACCGACACAGAUAAAAUGAGUGAGGUUGCUAUUCUUGAGGUAGUAAAAAAGAAUUUUGGAGAUCAUCUGAUCCUUGGGGAGGAGGGAGGAAUUAUAGGGGAUACCUCAUCAGACUAUCUAUGGUGUAUUGAUCCUUUAGAUGGAACAACAAAUUUUGCACAUUGUUAUCCUAGCUUUGCAGUUUCAGUGGGUGUACUGUUUCAAGGAAAUCCUGCCGCUGCUGCUGUGGUGGAAUUUGUUGGGGGACCUAUGUGUUGGAAUACCCGUACAUUUACUGCUACUGCUGGUGGGGGAGCAUUUUGUAAUGGACAGAAAAUCCAUCCCAGUAAAACAGAUAAGGUGGAGCAGUCUCUUCUUGUGACUGGGUUUGGAUAUGACCACGAUGAUGCAUGGAUUACCAACAUUGAAUUAUUCAAGGAAUUUACUGACAUCAGUAGAGGUGUAAGAAGGCUUGGUGCUGCAGCUGUGGACAUGUGCCAUGUAGCUCUGGGAGUUGCGGAAGCGUAUUGGGAAUAUCGUCUAAAACCAUGGGAUAUGGCUGCUGGUGUAUUGAUAGUCGAAGAAGCUGGUGGCGCUGUGACUCGGAUGGAUGGUGGAAAAUUUUGUGUCUUUGAUAGAUCUGUUUUGGUAUCUAAUGGUGCAGUUCAUGCCAAGCUUUUGGAGAGGAUUGCACCUGCAACGGAGAAACUUAAGAGUAAAGGAAUUGAUUUCUCAUUAUGGUAUAAGCCUGAAAGUUACGUCACAGAUCUUUGAAUUGCCAAAGAGUCACACUUCUUUUUCCUGACACAGUAAGCAGAGCCAUGUAGUUUUGCCAGCAAACUCACCAUCAUUGUUUGAUUAGAAACAUAACAAGGAUACAGAAGACGCAAAUAUAUUGUGAAAGGCUGAAUAAGAAGAAGAGGAAUGAAGUGGUGGCUGUUAAUUGUGGAAAGACAAGCACAAGGAGAACAUUGUUAGUGUCCAUAUCAACCUGGUUUUUCUACAUUGAUCUUGUCACUCUAUGCUGCUUCUGCUCCUUCUAAUUCCGCCAUUAGCACCGCUUUUUUUCGUGUAAAGGCCUUGGACCUUUGUGCUGGCAUCGGGGCAAACCCUGUCGACGGAGACUAGGUCCUUUUGUCACGGGACUAGAUCUUUUGCGACUCGUCACACUUCCUCUCAUUCACGAUACUACCUAAUUUAUGCAAUUACUAGAUACUACUGGAUCAUAAGUUGAAAUUUAUAAGAGGAUUAAAAUGUAGUUUACCCUACUUGUCCAAAAGUAUUUAGUAGGUUUUUUUUUCUUAUGCCUGAAUUUGUAAUCAAUUACUCGGAUCGAUAACUCCAUAUUGAUACUAUUAGUUUGUGCUGAUGUAGCAUUAAUGGUCAAUCUAAUGGUUUACUUAUUUUUAAAAAUUAAAA